rnacentral:rRNA from 1 species
UAACGGCCCACCGUGCCGAUAAUCGGUACGGGUUGUGAGAGCAAGAACCCGGAGACGGAAUCUGAGACAAGAUUCCGGGCCCUACGGGGCGCAGCAGGCGCGAAACCUUUACACUGCACGCCAGUGCGAUAAGGGGACCCCGAGUGCACAGGCAUAGUGCCUGUGCUUUUGUUGACCGUAGGGAGGUCAACGAAUAAGAGCUGGGCAAGACCGGUGCCAGCCGCCGCGGUAAUACCGGCAGCUCGAGUGAUGGCCGAUCUUAUUGGGCCUAAAGCGUUCGUAGCCGGCCUGUCAAGUCCGUCGGGAAAUCCACGUGCUCAACGCGUGGGCGUCCGGCGGAACCUGAUAGGCUUGGGACCGGAAGGCGCGACGGGUACGUCCAGGGUAGGAGUGAAAUCCUGUAAUCCUGAACGGACCGCCGAUGGCGAAAGCACGUCGCGAGAACGGAUCCGACGGUGAGGAACGAAAGCUAGGGUCUCGAACCGGAUUAGAUACCCGGGUAGUCCUAGCCGUAAACGAUGCCUGUUAGGUGUGGCCCCCGCUACGAGCGGGUGCUGUGCCGUAGGGAAGCCGCUAAACAGGCCGCCUGGGAAGUACGUCCGCAAGGAUGAAACUUAAAGGAAUUGGCGGGGGAGCACUACAACCGGAGGAGCCUGCGGUUUAAUUGGACUCAACGCCGGACAUCUCACCAGCAUCGACUGUGGUAAUGACGGUCAGGUUGAUGACCUCGCCACGAGCCACAGAGAGGAGGUGCAUGGCCGCCGUCAGCUCGUACCGUGAGGCGUCCUGUUAAGUCAGGCAACGAGCGAGACCCGCAUCCGUACUUGCCAGCAGCACUCACUGUGGCUGGGGACAGUACGGAGACCGCCGUGGCCAACACGGAGGAAGGAACGGGCAACGGUAGGUCAGUAUGCCCCGAAUGUGCUGGGCAACACGCGGGCUACAAUGGUCAGGACAAUGGGUUCCUACUCCGAAAGGAGACGGUAAUCUCACAAACCUGAUCGUAGUUCGGAUUGUGGGCUGCAACUCGCCCACAUGAAGCUGGAUUCGGUAGUAAUCGCGUGUCAGCAGCGCGCGGAGAAUACGU